GAAACGCGAUAGUUAAUGUGAAUUGCAGAAUUCAGUGAAUCAUCGAGUCUUUGAACGCACAUUGCGCCCAUAGGUAUUCCUUUGGGCAUGUCUGUUUGAGCGUCAUUACAACCCUCAGCUAACCGCUGGUUUUGAACCUGAACGGGUGACACCGCGCCGGUUUUAAAGUUGUAAGCUUUGCUGGCCGCUCUGCCCAACCAGAACAUAGUAAGCACUACUUGUCCGGGUGAAGCUGAACGGUACGGCCUGAACAAAACCUACCCACUCUCAAGGUUUGACCUCAGAUCAGACAAGGAUACCCGCUGAACUUAAGC
rnacentral:misc_RNA from 1 species